GUUCGUUCAGGGCUAAAGGGCUGCUGCCACCCAGGCACGUUUCUCUGUCCCGCCGAGCCUCCACACUCUCAGCACCGCCAGCAGUUAAGAAUUUUUUGCAACGACACCUGAUCCAGCUGGAGAUUCCUAGGACUCGACCGUCUCGUGGCCCCCAGCUCGCUCCACUCACGCCAGUGGACCGGCCAGGAUCCAUUUCCGGGUGACCUCACCACUACGUCGCCGCCGCCACGGUCUCUCGGGAAAUGUAGUCUCCCUAGCCACUCCUCAACCCCCUCCGGAGGAAGCUGCUUUUCCCGCGUGUAGCGCUUUGAGCGCGAGUGGAAGAAACGGAAGUGAUGUCCCGCGGACAAGCGAUGGUGGUGUAUGCCUUUAAUGCCAGCACUCUGGAGGCAGAGGCAGGAGAGUGAGUUCAAGGCCAGCCUGGUCUACAGAGUGAGUUCCAGGACAGCGAAGGCUACACAGAGAAACCCUGUCUCGAAAAGGCAGAAAUGGUUAUGAUGAUGCUAUCAGAAAUUAUGCUGCUUGUGAAGAGAGAAAUUAAGCUCUUUUGGUCCAGUGAGGUUAUUAAAGAAUGUAAUUUUCAAAUCCCAGUAAAACUUUGACACACCAGGACACCAGGAUGAAUCACUGUUGGCUUGGAUGCCUUUGGGAGGCAGAACCUCCUGAGUGCUGAGAUUACAGGUGUCAGCAUGUCCAUCUCUGCCACCAUCAACACCCGCCAUUGCCUCUUCAUGAAAUGAUGUCUGACCCAGGAUGGUUUUCCUUGCCGCAGGCUGAAAGGAACAGGGCCAGAUUGGCCGUGGAUUGAAACUUGGAACUCACUUUCAAAGCAGAGGCAGGUGGAUCUUUAUGAAUUGGAGGACAGCCUGGUCUACAGAGUGAGUCCAGGACAACCAAGACUGGCUGCAGAGAGAAUCCCUGUCUCGAAAAACAAGGAACCCCUCCAGCUUCUCGCUUAUCUCAGCUUCCUGCCUGCUAUGCAGAAAAUCCUCCCCUCCAGGUUUUUCAUGAAGAUAUUCAUCAAGAAUAGUACGGGCGUUCUCGCUUUCUCAAAUUACAGCAUUAAUUGCUAGUUAUUGGGAUAGUCAACUCAUAAGAGGAAGAAACAACAGCAGGCCUUGGUGAGCAGGAGGACUUCAUGUAUCCAGCAGCAACAUAGAGUGGUGUUCCUUUGAAGAAAUCCUACUCGGAUGGAUGAUAAUACAACACUUAGCAGCUGUGAGGAGGUCCAGUCGACAUCGGUUUUGAAGUACUACAGCUACCAACUAGUCAACCCGUUCUCGGAGUGUUAGUAUUGUCUGAGCCACUUGCUGGAGGUCCUGGAUGAACUGGGAAGAAAGUUAGUGAAGUGGCUAGUCCUGUUGUCCAGGUCCUGACAACUGCCGUGAUUCCUGCAACAGCCAAGAGAGGCAAGAUUUGAAUUACUCUCUUAUCCUGCUGGGCACCUCUUGAGUCCACAACUGGGAUUGAUUGAGGCUCCUUUACAUUUAUCACUCCCAGCUCGUGGAAGAGGAGUACCAGCAUGCAAACUCCUGACCAAACAGCAAGCAGACAAUGGUAGACCUGAGUUCGAGAAAGAAUUGAGGUAUUAUUAGCACUAGGGCAUUAGGGUUGAGAUGAGGUUUCAAGGAUUAUAGUUUUAUUACAAUCUAAGGAACUUAGCAUUUCUACAGAGUGUGUCUCAGAUGCCUGGAAACAUCUUGCCAUGCCAAAGAGAGUGAUAUGAAAAAGGCAAGGGGCUGUGGCAACAUCAGAGUCAGGGCAGUUAGUGAAUGGUGAAGUAAGGUUACUGGACAGAGUCACUGUAGAAGCUGAAUUGGUCCUAUGUGGUACACACCACCAGCAAUCUUUAAAAUGUCCCGGUUGGGGCCCAUUAAACUGCUUGUAGGCCGAGGUCAGGUUCUGAAGUAGGAGAUGAAAUGACAGGAUUGUACUAUGUAGGAGGGGAUAUUAGAGAGGUAAUGACCUUAGAGGAGUGUUUAAUUGUCUUCUCAUCCCCAUCCCCAUCCCCAGUGAUUGGGUAAUUAGGACAUAUUUUCUUUGGAUAUUGGUAGUACUUAUUGGUAAAUCAGGUUUGUAGUGGCGGUAGAGUUUUCCAACAACACCUGCUUCCCAUCUGGGAUCCCACGGGUCUUGGAUGUAUAAGUAGAGAGUCGUUUUGUGCAGGGGAUGGAGCUUCCUCUGUGCUGGUGCGUGGAUAUGGUAAGACAAGUGUGGGCAGCCUCCAUACCUGUCUGGCCAUUUUUUGCAAUGAUCCUUUGUUUGAUCAAAGAGGAAGCAAACAAAAAUUCUAUCCAUUAAGAGAGGAGCGAUAGAUGUAGGGGUGGUGGCUAUUUCAAUCGGCUCCUGGCAGCCUCCCAUGGAGCAAUUUCCCGACCCUGUUUGGAGAGACUGCUUAUUAUCAAUGAAGGGUUUCUUGAACCUUGAAUCUCCAUAUAUGGGGAUUUCCUUGAACAGAAAUAGGCAAGAGGCAGAGGAGGAAAAAUACAUAUCCAAUCCAGUAGGGUUGAACUGGAACUGGAGAUCUUGGCAUCUUUUGGAGCUUGAGGAAGCAGGGUCCUGUUGGAAUUGAUAUAUAGGAGGGAGCAUUAUCUUGAGGAGAGAGGCUAAAAGGCUUCAGUUGUGAUAGAUGAAUCCAGUGAGGGAAGCCCUCAAGCUUAGCAGCUGUGGAGGUCACAAGAAUCACCAUGAAAAGACCCUGCCAUUUAGAAGAAAGAGUUGGGGAAUUUUGGAGGAGAGAGAAGGACCUGCCCCCCAAUGUUAAUAAAAGAUGGACAGGGGUUAGUAUAUGGUCGUGGUAAAUAGUGGUCUGUAAAGACCCAUAGUAGAGAACGGAGAUGACAGAGUAAGGGAGUAAGUAGGUGGUCAGGGAGAGGCAAGGAUUUCGCUGAAAGACCAGGAGUUAGGACGGGUCUCCCACACAUGAGCUCAAAAGGUGAAAUAGAUAGAGGUUUUUUAGGCAGAGCUCGUAGCCUGAAAAGGGCCAGGAUGAGGAGUUUUACCCAAUCAUGGUGAAGCUCAUGUAAUAGUUUAACAAGAAUAUUUUUUAAGGAUUGGUUAGUUCGUUCUAUCUUUCCUGAGGACUGUGGAUGGUAUGAAAUAUGAAAAGACCAAGCAAUAUUAAGGGCUUUAGAUAAGGUCUGGGAAAACUGAGAAAUGAACUCAAGACCGUUGUCUGACUGGAGGGAGGGAGGAAUUUCAAAAUGUGGGACAAUCUCAUGGAGAAAGAGCUCUUUUUUAGUAGUGGGAAAAACCUCCACCCAUCCCGAGAAGGUGUCCACCAAGACCAGGAGGUACCUGCCACUGCCGACAUGUGAGUAGAAUCAAGUUGCCAGUCAGUAGCAGGGAGAGAGCCUCUAAUCUGGUGGGUAGGGAAAGGCGGGGUACGAUAUCCUGAGUUCGGAUCUGAGGUCUGGCAAUUCUUACAAGUGGCAGUAAUGGUUUUUAGGAAAUGCAAGUACUCAAGGGUAGGCUUCAGGUGAGCUGUGACAAAGUUAGACAAUGCUUGACUGUUAGGAUGAAAGAGCUAGUGUAGGUAGUUUUUAUUUUGCCGUGAGUGAGAUGACUCUAGGCCUUUAAGGGCUGGAGUCUUAGCUGCUUCUUCAGCCCGGUUAUUUCCCUUGGAAAUUAUGGAAUCAUCUGUCCAGUGGGACCGGGAGUGGACUAUUCUGAUGGCUGUGGGAAGGUGAGAGGCUUCUAGCAUGGCCAUAAUUUGGCCUGCAUUGGUUACAGAUCCUCCCUUUGCUGUAAGUAACCCAUGCUCUCUCCAGAUGGCAGCAUGGGAGAGAAGAAUAUGAAAACCAUAUUUACAGUCCGUAUAGAUAUUAAGGAAUUGUCCGUGGGCAAAUUGGAAGGCUCGGGUAAGAGCUAUUAGUUCAGCCUGUUGAUAAGUGGUGUGGGCAGGGAGGGCUUAUGCCUCAAUCCAUCAGUAUUCGACACUAUGGCAUAAGUCGCUUUUCGAGCUCCCUCGUGUACUGCCAUCUGUAUACCAGGUAUAGACAGACAGUCUGAGGUAAUGUGCCCUCCUGUAUGUGUGAGGGGUGGGGCAAUAGUUCCUCUAAAGUUUCAGUGCAAGAGUGAGAUGGGGAAUAGUCAGAGUUAAGUGGAGGAAGAAGGCUUGAAAUAUUAAGAGGUGGGCAUAGUUGAAAAGUAAGGGUAGAGUCUUCUAUUAGCGCCACCUGGAGAGAAAGGACUCUGGAAGAAGGUAAAGUUUGUAAGCCUUUAUAUGUUAGAAGGUGAGACAGAUUGUGAGAAGAGAAGACAAUACUAAGUGACCCAAAAGAUAGGUUUUUGUACUCUUGAAUAAGGAGCUUCGCAGCCGCUAGGGCAAAAAUACAGGGCACCCAUCCCUGGAUCGUCAGGUCUUAUUUUUUUGAUAGGUAUGCUACAGGUGCAAAGGAGGGUCCCAAUUGGUGACCCAGGGCUCCAAGGGCAUAUCCAUUUCUUUCUCUUACAUAGAGGGAGAAGGGACAUGUUAGGUCUGGAAGAUGUAGGGCUGGUGUCUCAAGAAGAGCUUGUUGGAGCCUCUGAAAGGGCUUAGUAAUAGGCUUAAGAAGAGGUUCAUGCAAAGGACCUAAGUCUGCCUCAUAUAAUGGGCAGACAAGAAGGUAAAAGGAGGGCACCCAGGACCAUAAGAAACCAGCCAUUCCCAGAAACGAUAAAAUUAGCAGGAACUGUCAGAGACCAUAUUAGAUCUUUUCUAUCUAGAUUGAUGCCCUAGUGCAUUGGGGUUAUUGUUAGUCCCAGGUAAGUGACCUCAGAUGAUGAUAAUUGGACCUUAGAGGAUGAUACCCGAUAGCCCCUGCUGGAUAGGAAAUUUAAACGAGCAGAAGUGUUAUUUUGGCUAACUUAUAGGGAUGGACUGUAGAUUUAGGGAGAGAUAAGGAGAGUAGAUCAGAAGCUAGAGCUUGGCCAAAAAGGGGUAGAACAGUCCAAGUUAGCUGAGUAGAAACAAGGGUUUCAGGGUCAGUCCAGGUAAAGGCAAAGAUAUUUUGUGACUGGGUGUCUAAAGGAAUAGAGAGAACUGAGAAAUGGGAUUGGCGACAACAGGUAAUAGGCUCCAUUGGGCUUUGUAACUGCAAGUAUGGGGGUGUUAAAAGGAGAGGAAGUGGGGCGAAGGAGUUUUUUCUUAGAAGCUCAGUGAUAAUAGGCAUAAGUCCUCUAUGACUCUUAAGAGGAAUGGUUAUGGAGCCUGGGCAAUAUACCAGGUGCGGUUCUGUAGCUGAAUGACUAUAGGGGAAUGGUUUCUCACAACAGAGGGCUUUUGGGCUUCUCAGACGUGGGAGUCCACUUGAGAGGCUGGUAAAGGAAGCAACCUAUCAGAACUGGUAGGUAGGGUAGCUAGGAGGAGAGAGGACACUGACAAGCUUUGUGUCACGCCUUAGAAGGCAAGGGAGCCUGCUUCAUGGCUGAGGCUGGCUAGAUGCCCUCGGCCAGCAUUUGGUAUUUUUGCUUGCGGGCUUUUUCAUCUCUCCCGUGGUACACCUUAAAGGCCAGCACUAAGACUUCUGCCUGUGGAGUCAGAGGUCCUUUCUCCAAGGAUUUAACCUUAGCCCUGAUGUUGGGGAACCUUUGCGAGAAAAAAAUAGGUCAUUAGUAGUUGUCUGCCCUCUGUACUAGAUUAGUGUGUUGUAAAAGUGCCUUUGUAAGGCACUCUAGGAAUUGAGACGGCUUUUCUUUUCUGUCCUGAAUGACCUGGAGCGGAGAGAGAACGGGUAGCAGGGGGGUAAUAAUUGUUGGUGAGGUGAAAGUGGUUGCAAUAGUGAGCUGACUAGGACAGCCUAUUGCCAGGGAAGGGGGUGAGGAUUUUGAAAAAGCUGAAGGAAAGAGGAGGGGGAAGACGCCAGAGGUUGUAAAGAUUCUGGAGAAGUUGAAGAGGAAGAAAUUGGAGUAGAAAAGUAGGGAGAAGACACCGGAGGUUGUGAGGAUUUUAGAGAAGCUGGAGGUUGAGAACAGCGGGGCGGAGGUUCAUCUGCAGGGUCAAAAGUAGAGACCUCUUGAAGUUGAGACUUUAUAGCUAGAAGAAGUUGGAUAGGAGUACAGGAAGAGCAGAGAGAAGGUUUACAGCAGAGAAGAGAUAAAGCUUGAACAUAUGGUAUAUCCAUGGUAUAUCCAUUUACCAGAUUUCUGGCAGUAAAUAAUAAGAUACCGUAAAAUAUUGUGCUUUAAUGUGAACCCUUACUUAAAGAAUAUGCACGCCAGGACUUAUUACAGAGGCGUGUGAGCUUAGAGGCCUUUAAUUGAGGCUCGAUGUGUAAUGUUUGAAAAUUCUACAGAAGAAAACUCAGUGGGGACACUGGAGGAAUGGUUCUCUUAUAAGGUGACCCCAAGCAUGCACAGUUGGUUCCAGUUGACCAGCCAGGUGUCUUCUAGGUGGCCUCACACAUGCCUCCAGAGUACUGUGAUUAAAGGCUUGUAGCACCAUGCCUGGCUGCAAUAAUUUUUCAGUACUAUAGUCUUUUAAAAUAUAUUUAAAUAUAUAAGUUAAAAAGAAAACUUUUUCUGUCCGUUCCCCUAAAAUAAAGCUUUCAUGAUAAAAUGUAUCACGAACAAUUCAAGAGGAACUUUGUUGGCAUCCAUAAGCAGGCAUCUCUACAGCCAGCACCAAGGGAACCUGGUAAACCAGACAUGAGGCAUCUGUGACUCCAUGUAUGGACCACCUGCGGACCACCUGAUCUCACCUGCACAUGCUCUGGGUCACCUUAUAACAGAACUCCCCCCACCCCCUCACCCCCCCCUCUUUCCCUACCCAGAGAAGGUCUCCGUGAGCCCUUUCCUCUUCUCUUAAUAAACCUCCCACGUGGAAACAGUUCCGUGGGGCUUGAUUUGUGAACAUGCCAUGUAACUUCUCUGCAAAAUCCUAACAAACCUGACUUUCUUUCCAUGUAAAUAACAAAGCCUGAGUAAGUAUGGUCUUAAAGAGCUAAUAUAUAAAAUCAGUGGACAAAAAGAUUCUAAGGGAAAGCAUGAUGCAGUAGCAAUAGAGCAUCUUCUCAUCUCUCGGCCUGGGAGAGAUUCAGCACACAACGGUGGUAGUGAUAGGAAAAGACAUUUUAUGUGGUGGUAUGGGGCUGUGAAUCAUCAAAUCAUCACUUUCUUUCUGGAUAGCUGUCUUGUCCUCCUGUGGGGAGCCCUUCCUCCCCAAACUCGCCUUGUGCAUGUCUGGCCACAUUUCUUGCUCCUGCUUUCCUGUGGUCGCUUUGAUGUCUUUGUUUUUAGUACCCAAAGGCUUUCUUCUCUACUCUUGGAUGUUUCUUAUAGAUGAUAAAUGUGUUCUCAUUUACACAGUGUUUCUGCUUUGAGCUGUUUGCUUAAGCUCACCAUAAUGACUACUACACCCUAGUUUAUUAUUGCUUAUAGCACACAACUUCUUUCCAAGUAUUAAGGAAAUGAACACAUUGAUCACGUGGUGGUGAAUGGUGGUCCUGUUGUUUGAGACAGUGUCUUCUGUAUCCAGGCUGGCCUUGAAUUGAAGCUCCCAAGUGUAGCUGAAGAUGGCCUGGCACUUUUGAAAGUGCAUCUCUCUACAUAGCCCCGGCUGUCAUGGAACUCUAUGUAGACCAGGCUGGCCUCAAAUUCACAAAACACUGCCUGCCUCUGCUUCCUGAGUGCCAGGAUUACAAGCAUAUACCAGGCGUGAUAAUUCUACUGAAAGAACCAGGCCUGAGCCCACCCCCUCCCCAAAAGUCACCAGUCCCAGGAACUGGGCCAUAGGUCACUAAUUCCAGAAUGAAAACAAUGGAGUCCCCUACCCAAGGAAGAGCCUGGAGAAAACCCAGUGAUAUUUAACCAUCACCCCUAGCAAAGGCUAAUCAGUGAAGACCUGGAAUUCACCCAGCUGUUCUUUACAAUAGGGUGAGUAAAACAAUUACCGUUUGCCUUGGCCCUCCAGGCAAACAAUUUUCUCCAGACACCCGAUAUUUGCUAAAUGUCAGUCUUUCAUAAAACUGCCUACAAAGCUGCCAUUUCCCAACCUUGUAACCCUAAAUAAAAACCCUCCUCCCCCUGAGCUCAGGGCUCUACACUCAAGAACCACUGAGUCUGGUGAGGGUAUGGGCCUGAGGUCAUGCUUGUAAGAAAAGACCCUCCUGAAUUUGCAUGAGUUAGGCUCUUUGGUGGUCUUUGGGGUCCCUGAGACUUGGGCAAAACACACUUUUCGUCUUUCCAGGACUCUCUACAUUGACUUCCAGAGCAACUGUGCCAGUCAAUAUUCAUUCCAACAGUUAUUAAAAGCUUCCUUUUCCCUACAGCUUUGCUGGCUUCUUCUGGUUUGUUUGUUUGCUUGUGUUUUCUUUGUUUUGAUAAUAGUCACAGUCUCAAAGCACAUUUUCAAAUAUUGGCCAUUUGUGUAUGUGUUCAGUUCACUUACUGGCUGGAUAAUUUGUCCCAUCAAAAGAAUUUUUUAAAUGCUCUAGAUUUUAUCCUUUGUAAUUUUUAAAUUUGUUACUAUUUUAUUAACAUUUUUUACUAUUAUUAUUACUGACAUUAUUAUUAUUGUUGUAUGUGUGUGCAUGCAUUGCUGUGGCAUGUGUAUGGAGUCAGAUGACAAUACUGUGGACUCAGUCCUCUCCUCAGGACUGUAUAUGAGUUCAAGGGUGGCAAACACGUUUACCUGCAGAGCCAUCUCUCCAGCCCUUACCUAUUAUUUUCAUCACUCCAUCGUAGGUCUUUGAAUAUCCUGUAUUUCUCAUCUGCUACAAAUUGCAGAGUAAGGCCGCGUGUAAAGGAAUAGCAUCAGGGAGGCCUUUCCUUUAACGUGCUCAUUACACAAGUCUACACAUGUGAUAACAUGGAAUAUUAAUGUGGCUUAGGUAUUGUGCUGUAUUUAUGGGAAAUGUGAUUCCCUGGGGAAAUCUGUGUGGAAUGUGUAAGCUGGCUAUAUUGUCUUUUUCUCAUACUAAUAAUUAUCUAGCACAACCUGUAAAAAUGGAAAUCAUGAAGGUGAAAGAAAACAGUCUGGGGCUGGAGAGAUGGCUCAGGGAUUAAGAGCACUGGCUGCUCUUCCGGGGGACCAGGGUUCAAUUUCCACCAUCCACAUGGCAGCUCACAACUGCCUGUAACUCCUGUUCCAGGGGAUCCAACGACCCUCACACAGACAUUGAUAUGCGGUCAACACACCAUUGUAUAUAAAGUAUGAGUAAAUAAUUUUCAAAUACAAUUACUCAACAUAAGAGUAACAAGGAAAAAGGAAAACCUAACUGCACAACAACUGGGAGGAUUAGUGGGGGCUGGGGAUUUAGCUCAGCAGGAGAGUGCUUGCAGGCCAGCAGGAUGCUCGGGUGGGGGUUGGGUUGGGAGUGAAGGGGAGACAGCAAAAAACAAGAACAUGAGCAAAGGAAACUAAAAUGGAACCACUGCAUGAGGGUGACUCCUAAAUUACUUUUUUUUUUUUGGAUAAAACAGAAACAGAAUUUGUCAUAAAUGAAGUACUAACUGAAUGGAAAAAUUGUUCUAACAACUUAUGUUAAAAACAACAAAUCUAGUUUUUUAUUAUUAAUUAAAACAAAUGCUGAAGUGAAUUUGUCAAGCCGAAAGGCAAAAAUAUAGAAGAAAAAGAGAGAAUGUAUUGAUAUAGAGAUGUUAAGUACAUAUUCAAAUUAGCAAGGGAAUAAAAUCAUUAAAGUUUUCAAAACAAAACUGUUUAAUGUCUACAGUGAUUUAUGAAGGUGUACAUAAUAAGAAAAGAUUCAAAUUGUUAUUUUAAGAUUCAGUAUCAGAAGAGGGGUAAUAAAAUGUGGCAGGAUUCCUAUCAAAAUUAAGUUUUUAGCAUCUUAAAAUAGAGUAUUACAACUUUGUUUUAAGAUGCUUCAUGGAACCUGCAAACAAAAACUAAAGCAAGUGAUCCAAAAUCAAAAAGGGGACAAGCAUGAUGGUGGGAAGGAAGAAAGAGAGGGAAGGAGGUCAUAAAUUUUAGCAUCAAUUCUCAAAUUAUUCAACAAAAGAGAAGAAAUAGCCAGGCAGAAUUGGACAUAAAGACAGACAAGCAGACAGAUAGAUAAAAUAAAAAAGGAUUCCCUUUUGGUCUAACUUUGUGAAAAAUUGAAUUUACUAAGUAAUUUACGGGAGCACGGAUGAGGGGUUAUUUACAGCAGUGUAGGUGACUCCAAAACUCCUGCAUCCCAUCCCAGCAUAGACGACAACCUAAUGAAAGCUGCAUGAAUGGAGCUCUCCAGUCAGUCAAACUUCCACCUCCUAUAUAUUCUGACACCUGAAGACCAGGGGCAGCUGGCAGCAUUCAAGGAGUUUAGGGCAAUAUGCUGGAGAGCAAUGAAUACAAUCUCAGGAGAGGUUGAAUAACUCCCCACACCCCUUCUUCAAAGAAGGAAUGUUUCCUGCAGAUGAUCACACACACAGAUGCUCUGAUUCAGGAAGGCAGUGUCCAUGUCAUCCUGGAGCACAGUGGUCCACAUCAGGUGUCAAAAAAAAAAAUAAAAAAAAAAGACAACCAGCAAGCUAACAUCCUUAAGGAACACAACAGCAAUCUGCAGUUAAAUACUAGUAUCCAUAUGUAACAACACUGCAAGACUAUUCAGCCCAGUCAAGAAAGAAUGAUCUCACAGAUACAGGGAUGCUCCAACAUGUACCAAUUGGUUAACAUAAGGGCAAAAUUUUCCAAUUGAGGAAGGAUAAGCUCACUUAGCAAACAGGUAUAGAACAAAUGUGCCUUAGCACAAUAAAGGCCACAUAAGGCUGACAUUAACAUUGAAUGGGGGGAGCUUUCUAAGAUCUGUAACUAGACAAGCAUUCUGACGUUCACCGUGGUUAUUGUCAGCACAAGUCCUAACUAAAGCGGUAAGGCAAGAAUGACUGGCAUCCAGUUGGAAGACAGGCUGUGGUGUUACCACUGCUUGCAGAAAACAUGGCGUUUUACAUGGCAAACUCCAAUGACUCCGUCUAGAAACUAUAAGAGCUCAUAAAGUCAGCCAAGCUGCAUGAUAAACCAUUUGUGGGAUCUCUUCGCUGUUGUCUGUGGCUGGAGGCCCUGACCAUACUGGCUGCAGCCUGGCAUGCAGGCACUGCAGGUGGAUCCUGUCCGUCCCUUGCUCAACACUUUCACCAUCUUCCUCGUGCUGGCAGCUGGCCGCAUCACCUCCAAAUGUCCUUGAUUUGCUGCAGAUGCUUCAAAGAGGGCAGCUGCUACUCAGAUGGCUGCCAGAGCCUUAUGGACUCUCGAAAACAAUGGCUGUCACCCUGCUCCUCUACAGACUCAUCAACCUGGGCAGCUGUUUCAUCCCCUCUUUCUCUGCCCUCUGUGGAGCCCAAAUAAUGGAUUUUCUAAGAGGUACUGGAGGCCUCUAGCCCUGUUGCUGCUGUGUUCCAGAUCAUCCCCCUGAUAAUCUACACUGUGAAGGACACACAGACCUUCAGCUUUCAUGCCAAUCCUGGUCACUUCUUUUCCUAUUUGGUUAAGAGAUUAUUAAUGCUGUUGAUGGACAGGGCAACAUGACAGGGGCUCUGCUGAGGCAGAGUGAGGGUCCCUUCUUGUCAUCUUAAAGGGAAGGUGAGGUUCCACAGCACAGGACUGAGGGCCAUGCUUGCUGUCUCCUCUGGCUGGCAGUGGGGAGGAAGGGAGCCUGUUAGCCUGGGGCCUAGAAGCUGAGUCAGCUAUGGGGGUGGAGAGAGCAAGAAUCUAGAAAAUCAAGUUAUUGGAAGGAUCUUGCGAAAAGGCCUGGCCCUGGAUAACAUUCCUCACCUUGGUUUCUAUCAGAUAGGGGGUUAGAAUACCAUAGGAUGGCUCAUUUCCAAAGGUUCAUCAAACUUUCAGUUCAGCUACAAAUGAGCAGAAAACACUGGUCCCUGCUAAUGACUUCCAGCCAACCUAUUUUUUAGCCUCCCCAAACUCCUGUCACCCCACCUACAAGUAUAGAGAAUUCAGUUACUCAUAGCUAUACUCCUCUGUGUGCUGAUGAAUCUGAUCAGCUUCCAAAUAAACAACAUUUAAAAUGGAGAGAUAAA